UGGGGAAUAUUGGACAAUGGGCGAAAGCCUGAUCCAGCCAUGCCGCGUGUGUGAAGAAGGUCUUCGGAUUGUAAAGCUUUUUAAGUUGGGAGGAAGGGCAGUAAGCGAAUACCUUGCUGUUUUGACGUUACCGCCAGAAUAACCACCGGCUACCUCUGUGCCAGCAGCCGCGGUAAUACAAAGGGUGCAAGCGUUAAUCGGAAUUACUGGGCGUAAAGCGCGCGUAGGUGGUUCGUUAAGUUGAAUGUGAAAGCCCCGGGCUCAACCUGGGAACUGCAUCCAAAACUGGCGGGCUAGAGUAGGGCAGAGGGUGGUGGAAUUUCCUGUGUAGCGGUGAAAUGCGUAGAUAUAGGAAGGAACACAAGUGGCGAAGGCGACCACCUGGGCUCAUACUGACACUGAGGUGCGAAAGCGUGGGGAGCAAACAGG
rnacentral:rRNA from 1 species